AGGGGCAGACUAUACCAUGAGGACGGGUAUGUUGGCUGCUUGUGUGUGUGUGUGUGUGUGUGUGUGUGUGUGUGGGGAAUAUAUAGCAAAAAUAGUCAGGUCAUCUUGUUGUUCAUCCAUAGUGUGUAUAUCAAAGGUUUAUCUAGUUUUUUGUGCACGUUUUGACAUAUACAUCUCCUCCAAAUAUGAAUACUGUAGUAAUUCUUUAAGCAUGCGCGAUAUGUGUCAGUGUAUGGAUGUUUGUGUGUGUCUGUGUGUGUGAGGAUGGGUGUCCAGCUGAGGACAAGUGUAUCAAGUCAGAAUAUUAAAUAUAUCUCAACAUAAAUGGCAGCUGUACUAUAUGACAUAUUUAAUGUUAAGACACAUGCAUAGAGAUGUAUAUACCACUUCAGAGAAUCCUAUAGCUAUCUAUAUCUAAUAUUGCCACAGGGCUUGGGAUGAGUAAUGUAUUUUAAUGUAUUUUAGGUUUUUUUGUCAUCUCCAAAUCCUCCUGGUGUUUGAGUCUCUUCACAUGACCCAUUUCUAAGGUUGGUAGAACUUUAGCCCUGGCCCCAUUCCAAUCCAAUACCAAUCCUCCCUUCUCUAGGCCCUUGACGAGUUGUCUUAGGAGACCUGAAAGGACUGGGUUCAUGUAGGCCUACGUAAGUGAUGUAAUAGUGGCGGAUGCUCCACCUAAGCUAUACCAGAUGGCUAGGUGGAGUUGCACCAUAUAUCUAUUUUUUAUUUCACCUUUAUUUCACCAGGUAGGCUAGUUGAGAACAUGCUCUCAUUUACAACUGCGACCUGGCCAAGAUAAAGCAAAGCAGUGUGACACAAACAACAGCACAGAGUUACACAUGGAAUAAACAAACAUACAGUGAAUAAUACAAUAGAAAAAGUCUAUAUACCGUGUGUGCAAAUGAGGUAGGAUAAGGGAGGUAAGGCAAUAAAUAGGCCAUAGUGGCAAAAUAAUUACAAUAUAGCAAUUAAACACUGAAGUGAUAGAUGUGCAGAAGAUGAGUGUGCAAGUAUGCAUUGCAAUCCUUGUAGUGUAGAUCCACUCACACAGGGCUCCAUGAAAAGGAGCAAAUUCUUGACUCAAAUUGAAUCCCAUUCUAACCAAAAUCCCCCUCUGCUUCGCCCUACUACUGCAAGCUUGCCUGUUAUACCCAUGAAAAUGAGCCCUUUUUAACCUCUGCCCUUCUUCAAUCCCCCUAGGUGACCCAUCACAUUGAAGUUAUGUCACAGCCAGUCCACCACCUUCCGACGGCCACCCCACCUCACCAAUGGUGAGGUCCAUUUCCGAACGUAGUGGUGCCCACCUGACCUAAAUGGAACCGGAUUGGCUCCUCUUCCAUUUUUCUCUGCCCCAGUAUUUAAACCUGAAGCCCUUUGUGGACGUUGAACGAUCUCCUUUUGGUUGGGGUGAACUUUAGGCACAUGCCUGGACAUGCCUGACAAACUGAAAAUGGGGUAAUGUACUGUUGGGUCAUGGAUACCAGUGGAUACCCAACCACAGCUGCCUCUGUGGGCUUCAUCCCCAGACCGUCUUUGGAUACACCAAUCAAAGGACAAGUUGAAAUGGACCACUGUGAACUAGUGUGUCUCUGUCCUCCUACAACUAACUGACUGGAUACAUGGACAGAAAUGGAGGGUGUGAGAUGUGUGUGUUCUGUGUUGUGAUGGUACACUGUCUUCUCUGAGACGACUCUACACACAGCUGUGUCCGUCACAUCUGCAAUACAUUCGACACGGGUCAGCAUGCUGAUCUGUUCAUGUGUGCUGUGCUUGUUUGUGUAUAUGUGCUUGUUUGUCUAAGCGCAUACACUUUGAGUCACCCUCACUCAGAGCAAGUUCUGUUCUGGGAUUGUAAGCAACACACGCACACACAUCACAAAUCAUAGUAAAUGUCUUUUAACCUCCUUAUGGUUAACGGACAUAGGAUUUAUCAUGUGCUUAUGCUACCUGGCAAAAAUAAUAUUUGCAACUGGAGGAGGUUGUAUGGUUUAGUAGUAGAAUCGCACUGCAGCACUGAUUUUAUUAUCAAGGGGAGGAUACAACUGGUAAAUAAGUAUCUUAUAUUGGACAGCCCACAUAGUAUUCAGAUCAUUUAUGUAUAGAUAGAACACGUACAAUUAAUUAAAAUAAAACAUAGAAAUGUGCUAAUUGAGUGAUUUAAACAAUUGUAGUAUAGAAAUCAGAGUAGGACGAUAAUUUAUGUGUUAUUUAGUUUACAUAAUGGAUAUGAAUACUAGUUUAGUUAGAAUUUCUCAAAUUAUUUUCAAAAUGUGAAAAUGUGUGUAUUUUUUGUUGUUGUGUAUAUUAUUUCUAUGCAUCUUUUGAAACCUAUGCAAAUGAAUCCACAAAGUAGAUAUUUUAGAAUUUGCUAAUGACGAUCAUUCAAUUUCUCAGAGGGUUUAGAUUUUUCCCCAGACAAUCUGUUGUAUACUGUAGGGUGAUGUGAGAGAUUAGAAAUGAAAGUGCAAUACAGGAACGUUUCUGAGCCCUGCUCCAGACAGCAAAAUAUGUUGGGAUUUUACAGCGUUUUUCUCAACUGAUUUGGAUUUUUAGAUAUUUUUUAGAAGUGUAUCAAUAUCAAAAUAUAAACAUUGGAAUGUUUAAUUUGCUUAACUGUCUGAGUCUUAAAUUAACGGAUUGACUAGAAAGUUGCAUAUACAGUUUUCCAAACAAUUAUUUUGGGAUUUCAUGUGAACAUUUUUACUCUAUGCAACUUUUAUACUUUGUAACUUUUUGUAAUAAAUAAUAUGACUAUCAUUCGGAGCAACUGCAAUUCAUAUUUGUUUCACUGUUUAAGACUUCAUUUGAGAAACUAUGCAAUGGCUGUAUACUAAAUGUGUUUGAUAGUGUGAUGUACUGUACGGUUUUACAACAAUGUGUACUCUACAUGAACAACAAAUGUGUACUCUUUGAGCAUAGUAUGUAAUAGCCUGUAAAUAUACUGUACGUUAUCAAGACCGCACUAUAUGUAGUUGGUUAUGGGCAAUUUGUUGUGGGGAAUGUGCAAUCAGAGUGCAUGUGUGCACUACAUGAGUUUAAACUGUAAACAGUCAGGGUGAAGUGUGUGUAGAAUGAUGCAUCAUGUAGAAAGCAAGAGUACAAUAGAUGGAAUGUGUGCAAUGUGUGUGGAGGCAUGCACUACGCUGAGGGUGAGUGCAAUGUUUUAAUGACAAUGUUGGAUUUUAAAGAGAUGUUUGCAUGAGUGCACUAUGGCCCACAAGAUCAUAGACUAUGUUAGGCAUGUUUGCAAAUGACCUGUGAAUCCUGACUGUAGGGGACUGACUCGUUCUUGUACCAUGGACUCUGUACGAUUAAGUCAACACAAUAAAUGUUUACAUUUAAAAAAAAUAAAAACACAUGUCUGUCUGGAAUUUCAAUCUAUUCAGUCUAUUUUUCGUUGAACCCAUAUCUUUGAAUCAAUUCGAGCUCAGUGUAAGUUUGCGUUGAGAAUUCAUAAAUGUGGAGGGAAAAAAAGUGAAAUACCAAAGGGAUCAUGAGUAUUGCAGCAGUAAGAAAGUUACCUGGAGUGACAGAAUUCCAAGAUCCAGGGCCU
rnacentral:lncRNA from 8 species